GACGAACGCUGGCGGCGUGCCUAACACAUGCAAGUCGAGCGGGAACCCCAGGAGGGGUAACCCUUCUGAGGGGAGAGCGGCGAACGGGUGAGUAACACGUGGGCAACCUGCCCCGGACACCGGGAUAACCCAGGGAAACCUGAGCUAAUACCGGAUACUCCGGCGCGAUCGCAUGGUCGUGCCGGGAAAGCUCCGACGGUCCGGGAUGGGCCCGCGGCCUAUCAGCUUGUUGGUGGGGUAACGGCCCACCAAGGCGACGACGGGUAGCUGGUCUGAGAGGACGGCCAGCCACACUGGGACUGAGACACGGCCCAGACUCCUACGGGAGGGCAGCAGUGGGGGAUCUUGCGCUAAUGCGCGAAAGCGUGACGCAGCGACGCCGCGUGGGGAUGAAGGCC
rnacentral:rRNA from 1 species